AGUCACUGACAUUAGAUACCCGUGUAGUCCAGGGUGUAAACGCUGCAGACUUGGUGUUGGAGGCCCUUUGGGGGCAUUCAGUGCCGGAGAGAAGUUGUUAAGUCUGCUACUUGGGGAGUACGUCCGCAAGGAUGAAACUUAAAGGAAUUGGCGGGGAGCACCGCAACGGGAGGAGCGUGCGGUUUAAUUGGAUUCAACACCGUAAACUCACCAGGGAAGACUGUUACAUGAAGGCCGAGAUGAAGACUCUGCUAGAUUUUCAG
rnacentral:rRNA from 1 species